UUUGCUUUUUCAAAUUCAAAAUAAUGACUGGUGGCACCAUGCCAAUGCCAACAUGCCCUCUCCUCCAAGCUCUCUUUUUUAAGUCAUAAAUACAAAUUGAAAGCUCAAGGGACCUCAGUGUGCUUUUUGCAUUGUUUCUUUAAGCUUUAAAUUUAAUAUUCACCUUCCCUUUUGUUGUUGGGUUGGUAGGGAAUUAAUUGCUGACUUAUUCUAGCCUAUACAUCCCUCCUUUCAUCCCUUCCUCUCCUCUCCUCUCCUCACAGACAGAGACAUACACAUUAAGUAAUGGAUUACAGUCUCGCAGUCAUAGCUAGAACAUUGCUCCACCUUGCAGAAAACAAAUCUCAUUUGCUUUCCCUCCAUUGCUUUCUUUCCCUCCAUCGAUCCUUUGACUCUUCUAUGUCUCUGUGCGGUAAGUUUAUUUACUCGAAAGCUUCCUUAAAGCCCUUAAUUCUGUUGACAUUCACUCGAAACCAUCUCUUUAUUCCUUGAUACUUGAAUAUCAUGUUUCUUGGAGCUAUUUAGGGUUUCAUGCUGCAUGUGCUUGUGUUUGUUACUUUAUAAACUAAAUUUCAUUUAUAUGUACGUAUACGUUGUUAUUCGUAUGUUUCUUCAGAGAAAACGGGAUAUUGGUACGGUUCAAUCAGAAAGUAAUGCUCCCAAAAGUAUAGAGUACUAUUGUUUGAUUGAGCCGUGCCAAUAUCACGUACACUCAUCUUCCUCUCGAGGAACGAGCUCUUCCAAAUAUCGAGCUCAUACAUAUUUGGAAGAAAUUAAACGAAUCCAGCAACCCGUACGUUAUUGCAAACUUGAUGGGAAAAACACUGUACAAAUUUCCUUACAAAUCUUGUUGGAUUUCUUUUUUCUCUUUGAUUACCAAUAUACUUCUGUGGCUUUAAAGAAGUAAUGAUCAUGGAACAACCAACUGAUCUAACUAAAGUAACUUGCUUAGGUAGUAGGCAAGAACUAUUCAUAGUUGUCUCGAAAAGUAAUUCCACUUUUUUGACAAAGUGGGUAUUAGUAGGUGACAAAGAUUCAAUCUCCUUAACUGUUCUCUUCUCAUUAUUUUAAAGCUCCAGGCAUCACGACUUUCCAAAUGUGUGAGACACUUUGGUGCCAGAAAUUGAGGAAUUAUAUUGUUUUUUUUUUUAUUAUCUUUUCAAUUCCAUUGUAAACCCAUCUAAAUCCUUCAAGUUUAUUUUGUAAGAGUAUUGUAAUUGAAAUUUUGCCUCGUAGAGUACAAUUUUUGUGGCAAAGAUUUCUACCUUCGAAUUAUCUAAAUGAAGCAUCACUUGUAAACCAUAAAUUGCUUAGUGUAUUCGGUCAUCUACUUAUCCAAUUGAAAUGUAUAUGUAACGUUUCCCCUUUUUGUUUUUUCAAAAAGGGAAAAAAUGGAUAAAAUCUUUAAUAUAUGGAAGUUUGGA